CCUACGGGUGGCUGCAGUGGGGAAUUUUGGACAAUGGGCGCAAGCCUGAUCCAGCCAUGCCGCGUGCAGGAUGAAGGCCUUCGGGUUGUAAACUGCUUUUGUGAACAGUUCGGUACCGUAAGAAUAAGCACCGGCUAACUACGUGCCAGCAGCCGCGGUAAUACGUAGGGUGCGAGCGUUAAUCGGAAUUACUGGGCGUAAAGCGUGCGCAGGCGGUGAGGUAAGACAGUUGUGAAAUCCCCGGGCUCAACCUGGGAACUGCAUCUGUGACUGCAUGGCUGGAGUGCGGCAGAGGGGGAUGGAAUUCCGCGUGUAGCAGUGAAAUGCGUAGAUAUGCGGAGGAACACCGAUGGCGAAGGCAAUCCCCUGGGCCUGACUGACGCUCAUGCACGAAAGCGUGGGGAGCAAACAGGAUUAGAUACCCUUGUAGUC
rnacentral:rRNA from 1 species